AAAUUGAAGAGUUUGAUCAUGGCUCAGAUUGAACGCUGGCGGCAGGCCUAACACAUGCAAGUCGAACAGUAACAGGAAACAGCUUGCUGUUUCGCUGACGAGUGGCGGACGGGUGAGUAAUGUCUGGGAAACUGCCUGAUGGAGGGGGAUAACUACUGGAAACGGUAGCUAAUACCGCAUAACGUCGCAAGACCAAAGAGGGGGACC
rnacentral:rRNA from 1 species